UACGUAGGGCGCAAGCGUUAUCCGGAAUUAUUGGGCGUAAAGAGCUCGUAGGCGGUUUGUCGCGUCUGCCGUGAAAGUCCGGGGCUCAACUCCGGAUCUGCGGUGGGUACGGGCAGACUAGAGUGAUGUAGGGGAGACUGGAAUUCCUGGUGUAGCGGUGAAAUGCGCAGAUAUCAGGAGGAACACCGGUGGCGAAGGCGGGUCUCUGGGCAACAACUGACGCUGGGGAGCGAAAGCGUGGGGAGCGAACAGG
rnacentral:rRNA from 1 species